AUUGAACGCUGGCGGCAUGCUUUACACAUGCAAGUCGAACGGCAGCACGGGCUUCGGCUGGUGGCGAGUGGCGAACGGGUGAGUAAUAUAUCGGAACGUACCCAGAAGUGGGGGAUAACGUAGCGAAAGUUACGCUAAUACCGCAUACGAUCUAUGGAUGAAAGCAGGGGACCGCAAGGCCUUGUGCUCCUGGAGCGGCCGAUAUCUGAUUGGCUAGUUGGUGAGGUAAAGGCUCACCAAGGCGACGAUCAGUAGCUGGUCUGAGAGGACGACCAGCCACACUGGAACUGAGACACGGUCCAGACUCCUACGGGAGGCAGCAGUGGGGAAUUUUGGACAAUGGGCGCAAGCCUGAUCCAGCAAUGCCGCGUGAGUGAAGAAGGCCUUCGGGUUGUAAAGCUCUUUUGUCAGGGAAGAAACGGUAGAGGCUAAUAUCCUUUGCUAAUGACGGUACCUGAAGAAUAAGCACCGGCUAACUACGUG
rnacentral:rRNA from 1 species